GAGAGAUCGGGCGUUCCCCGUUCGGGGGACGAGGGUGACAGGUGGUGCAUGGUUGUCGUCAGCUCGUGUCGUGAGAUGUUGGGUUAAGUCCCGCAACGAGCGCAACCCCUAUCUUUAGUUGCCAUCAUUGAGUUGGGCACUCUAAAGAGACUGCCGGUGUCAAACCGGAGGAAGGUGGGGAUGACGUCAAGUCCUCAUGGCCUUUAUGACCAGGGCUACACACGUACUACAAUGGCCGGUACAAAGGGCAGCGACACAGCGAUGUGAAGCGAAUCCCGAAAAGCCGGUCUCAGUCCGGAUUGGAGUCUGCAACUCGACUCCAUGAAGUUGGAAUCGCUAGUAAUCGCGGAUCAGCACGCCGCGGUGAAUACGUUCCCGGGCCUU
rnacentral:rRNA from 1 species